rnacentral:rRNA from 1 species
CUACAGAGGGUGCGAGCGUUAAUCGGAAUUACUGGGCGUAAAGCGCGCGUAGGCGGCUUGGUCAGUCGGAUGUGAAAGCCCCGGGCUCAACCUGGGAAUUGCAUUCGAUACUGACAGGCUAGAGUAUGGGAGAGGGAAGUGGAAUUUCCGGUGUAGCGGUGAAAUGCGUAGAUAUCGGAAAGAACACCAGUGGCGAAGGCGACUGCCUGGCCCAAUACUGACGCUGAGGUGCGAAAGCGUGGGGAGCGAACAGGAUUAGAAACCCUAGUAGUCC